UACAGAGGGGGCAAGCGUUGUUCGGAAUUACUGGGCGUAAAGGGCGCGUAGGCGGCCUGUUAAGUCGAACGUGAAAUCCCCGGGCUCAACCCGGGAACUGCGUCCGAUACUGGCAGGCUUGAAUCCGGGAGAGGGAUGCGGAAUUCCAGGUGUAGCGGUGAAAUGCGUAGAUAUCUGGAGGAACACCGGUGGCGAAGGCGGCAUCCUGUACCGGCAUUGACGCUGAGUCGCGAAAGCCAGGGGAGCAAACGGG
rnacentral:rRNA from 1 species